UUUGUGAAUUGUUUCCUGUCUUAGGAAAUUAGUAAUCUCUCAUAUCCUGUUCUUGCAGGAAGAAUUUUAAAUCAUUUCUCCAAAGACAUUGGGCAUAUGGAUGACUUGCUGCCCCAGACAUUUCAAGAUUUCAUCCAGAUGUUUCUACUUGUGAUUGGUGUGGUGUCUGUGAUGGUGGCUUCGAUUCCUCGGAUUGCUAUAUUUGUGAUUCCCCUUGGAAUCAUUUUCUUUGUUCUCUGGUGGUAUUUCUUAAGGACAUCAUGAGAUGUGAAAUGCCUGGAAUCUACAACACAGAGUCCAGUGUUUUCUCACUUAGCAUCUUCUCUCCGGGGACUUGGGACCAUCCGGGCGUACAAAGCUGAACACAAGUUUCAGAAACUGUUCGACACAUACCAGGAUUUGCACUCAGGUCUGUCAGUUUCUGGAGAUGAUUUCAAAGUAUGAGGUCUGCUGCCUUCUGAGGCCUGAUCUUCUUCUCAGGUGGCCUGGCUAUUCUGUGCCACCCCUUAUCCCCCUCUGCACACCUGCCUCCC
rnacentral:lncRNA from 1 species